rnacentral:rRNA from 1 species
UACGAGGGGGGGCAAAUGUUGUUCGGAAUCACUGGGCGUAAAGGGUGCGUAGGCGGCGCGGUAAGUCGGGUGUGAAAUCUCGGAGCUUAACUCCGAAACUGCAUUCGAUACUGCCGUGCUUGAGGACUGGAGAGGAGACUGGAAUUUACGGUGUAGCGGUGAAAUGCGUAGAGAUCAUGAGGAAGACCAGUGGCGAAGGCGGGUCUCUGGACAGUUCCUGACACUGAGACACGAAGGCCAGGGGAGCAAACGGG